GACGAACGCUGGCGGCGUGCCUAAUACAUGCAAGUUGAGCGCUGAAGGUUGGUACUUGUACCGACUGGCUGAGCAGCGAACGGGUGAGUAACGCGUGGGGAAUCUGCCUUUGAGCGGGGGACAACAUUUGGAAACGAAUGCUAAUACCGCAUAAAAACUUUAAACACAAGUUUUAAGUUUGAAAGAUGCAAUUGCAUCACUCAAAGAUGAUCCCGCGUUGUAUUAGCUAGUUGGUGAGGUAAAGGCUCACCAAGGCGAUGAUACAUAGCCGACCUGAGAGGGUGAUCGGCCACAUUGGGACUGGGACACGGCCCAAAAUCCUACGGGAGGCAGCAGGAGGGAAUCUUCGGCAAUGGACGAAAGUCUGAACGAGGAACGCCGCGUGAGGGAAGAAGGUUUUCGGAUCGUAAAACUCUGUUGGUAGAGAAGAACGUUGGUGAGAGUGGAAAGCUCAUCAAGUGACGGUAACUACCCAGAAAGGGACGGCUAACUACGUG
rnacentral:rRNA from 1 species